UACUAGAGUUAUUAAAAAAAAAGGCAAAUAACUUUUUUAAUCUUCUAAUAGUAGCUACUUUACUAAAAUCCCAAAAAUGGAGGGCAAGAAAAAUUAUGUAUUAAAAGUAUUUGUCGUUCUUGCAUUAGUGCAAAUGAUGAUGGUUGGAAAAGUACAAGGAUGUGCUGGUGUUGGAGAAGGUUGUGGGCUUUUAAUUGGUGUUGUAAUGGAGGUUCAUGUUCAGAUUCCUUGAGUGGAGGUGUAUGUGUAUAUGACUCAUUCUCAGGUUGCAAGGGGCUUGGGGAAAGUUGUGGAUUUUUUGAUGCUCCAUGUUGUGGAAAGAGGGUUUGUUCAGCCACCCUUUCGGGUGGCACUUGUUCAGACUAACUGCGACGUCCAAAAUCUUCAACAAUAUAUUCUCAAUUAAUCAUCAUGUCAUAUUUAAAUUGUUGCGUGUAUUUCACUUUUAUUUCCAUUUUAAUCCCACUACUCAAAUUGUAAUUCUCCCUGGAUUUGAUUCGGAGUGCA